rnacentral:lncRNA from 1 species
CCGUGGACCACUCACACCCGAAUCUGGGCCUCCUCCAGGCCCUGCAGGACGCCCUCCUUUCCCGCCCUCUGUGGCUCCCUGGUCCCUGGGGGGGGGGGGGGGGAGGGGGUGAAGGGGGUGAGGGGGGUGAGGGGGGCGGGUGAGGGUCGGAGAGUCUCCCACCGUGGUGGCGGCCCCCAGAAGUCUGGGUGCCUCCGCCUCCUCUCAGCCCGGGGGUCCCUCCAUCCCCCGAACCAGAAGAUAAAGGCAACCCGGGGGGGGGGGGGGUGGCACCCGGCAGGGCCUGCCCCUGCCCCACCCACCCACCCUCCCUCCUGCCCCUGCCCCACCGCCCCUCCGACGGCCCGGCUCUCUGGCCCCCCAGCUCCGCCUUCUCCUAGCCCCCUCCCCCAGCCCCCCAGCCCCCCUCCUCCCCUCUCCUCCCAAGGUCGCCCCCCGCCACUAAUCUCCUUAUUCUUGCCGCGGGACUGCGCGGCCCCUUUAAGAGCGGCUGGGGCUGGGGCUGGGGGGUGGGCCUGGGGGUGGGGCAGGGUCCGGGGGUUGCGGGGGGGGGGGGGGCGGGGGCUGAGCAGAGCCGGGGAAAGAGCGCAGCCGCCCGCCAGUCCCUCCGCCCCUCCUCCCGGACGGACGCCCCUCCUCCCGGACGCCCUCCCGCCUGCCCUCCCUCCCUCCCGGCCGGCUUGGGGAGAGGGAGCGGGGCGGGGGAUCGGAGCCCCCGGAGCCGGGGAGCGGGGGCUGCGGCACAGGGGGGGUCCAGAGGGGUGGGGGUGGGGGUGGGCUCCCAUCCAUCUCUCCAUCCAUCCCUCCCUCCCUCCCUCCCUCCAUCCAUCCAUCCCUUCCUCCCUCCAUCCAUCCCUUCCUCCAUCCCUCCCUCCAUCCCUCCCUCCAUCCCUCCCUCCAUCCCUCCCUCCAUCCUUCCCCUCCCCCCCGCCGGCGGCCGGGGCCCUCCCCGCACUGCCGGACCCCGCCCCGGACCCGCCCCUCCACCCCUGGGAGCCCGGACGCCCGGGACCGCGGCCGGAGCCAGGUAAGGGAGGUGGGGAGCAACCCCGCCGAGACCCCCCGCCCCCUCCCCCGGACCCGCACAGCCGCUCGGCCGGGCCGGGGGGCGCCUCAAGGUGA